GACGAACGCUGGCGGCGUGCUUAACACAUGCAAGUCGAACGGAAAGGCCCUGCUUUUGUGGGGUGCUCGAGUGGCGAACGGGUGAGUAACACGUGAGUAACCUGCCCUUGACUUUGGGAUAACUUCAGGAAACUGGGGCUAAUACCGGAUAGGAUCUCCUGCUGCAUGGUGGGGGUUGGAAAGUUUCGGCGGUUGUGGAUGUACUCGCUGCUUAUCAGCUUGUUGGUGGGGUAGUUGCUUACCAAGGCUUUGACGGGUAGCCGGCCUGAGAGGGUGACCGGCCACAUUGGGACUGCGAUACGGACCAGAAGCCUACGGGAGGCAGCAGGGGGGAAUAUUGCACAAUGGGGGGAAGCCUGAUGCAGAAACGCCGCGUGCGGGAUGACGGCCUUCGGGUUGUAAACAGAUUUCGCCUGUGACGAAGCGUGAGUGACGGUAAUGGGUAAAGAAGCACCGGCUAACUACGUG
rnacentral:rRNA from 1 species